UAUAGUCAAAAUUCACUCAAAAGUUUUGAAAUAAAUGGGAAAAAAGGGCUUACUGCACUGUGCUUAAUAAUUUAGAUAAAAAUGUAUUAGUAAUAUCUACAUUCAUUUCACUUAACUGCAUUUUCUAUAUUGUUUUAUGCUUUAUUAUUUAUUUCAGUGCUUUUUUGUAAAUCUCUCUGGAGUUUAUCUAAUGUGUGUGAUUCUUUGAACAUACGUGUCACGUGAAUGUUGUUUGCGACAGACAACAAGGUCUCAUGUUUCCGUUUAGAAGCAGCACAGUGAUAAAGGUUUGCAGCUGACAACACCUGCCCUGUUUAACACGUAUCAAAUACAGCGCAAGGGCUGCCAUGCGGAAAUAUGAUGGGCCAGAGAGUUGCUGUCUUAUAAUCAGUCACCCAAACGCCUGCCCCGGGGCUAAAAGUCAAAGGAUCGCUGAGACCUGAUGUAAUACGUGUGUGAUUCUCCCCUUUGAAACUUCAAACUCCAGUUUGUGAACAAAGUCCUGUCUAUCUUCUGAAUAGGAAUCUCCGACCACUGACCAAACUCCAUUUGCAACCACUGCCUAUUUGUACCUUCUCCUCAAUGAGUACAUUUCAUUUCCCCAAGUCUGAUCUCAAAGGCAUGCAGCAGGGUAGCAACUUAGUAAAGUCAAAAAGGCAGGAGCCAGCAGCUGGGAGGAAAAGACGAUCAAUGUGGCCUGGAAGAGUUAUUAAGAUGUGGAAUAUACACUGUCCGGGGAUCUAUUUUGUUUCUUUGUGAGAAAGCCACACCGCAGGGGAAAUGUGAGUGUUUGUGAGGCACAUCCAGGAGCGUGUUGAUGUUGAUAAGAGUAAAACAGAAGGAGACAAGGCCAGCAGAAAAAAGCUGCUGCUGCUCUGCUCUCCCGCAGUAGAUGGAGGAGAUAGGAGCCGCCAUAGCUGGAGGGACAGACGGAACAAGGCCUCCCAGUCUUAUACGGAGCUUCACCCGCCCAGUUUCCCCUGAAACAAAUAUGAGUUCAGUGUAAGCUCUCACUGUGUUCUCACCAUGUGCUCCAUAUUAGCCGCAGGGGGAAAGACUUGAGAGCGGACUCGGUUGUGAUAAUCCAGCAGGGCAUUUAUCUCCCUGGAUGAAAUG